UAGCCAAUAAGCACAUUUGUGUUUCAUGAU
rnacentral:piRNA from 1 species